ACUCUAAUAGUUUACAGCAAAACAUUGGUCUUGUAAGCCAAAGAUCGAAGACCCCAACCUUCUUAGAGUG
rnacentral:tRNA from 1 species